AGUGCAUACAUUUUUGCAAAACUACAAAUGUCCUGCGGUCCGUGGAGGCAGCAUGUAAACAUUUCGUAACCCAGCAUGGCCGCUCCGUUGGUCAGGAUCUUCACUAAGUCUUGUAUCAGACCGACCUCCCGACCAUGGGGGUCAUGCCAGGCUGGAUGGAGGGGCAUGUCCACCAGAUCUGCCCCAGACGUGGCUGCACAGGAGGCGGCCGGGCUGGUCUCCUUCCCUCCCCUGCAGACUUACUCGGAGGAGGAGAACAUGAUGAGGGAGACAGUGAAAAAAUAUGCACAAGAGCGCAUCGCACCAUUUGUGUCAAAGAUGGAUGAAAACUCUGUCAUGGAUGAGGAAGUGAUCAAAUCUCUCUUUGAACAAGGCCUCAUGGGCAUCGAGAUCGACCCAGAGUACGGUGGCACCGGCUCUACCUUCUUCUCCUCCAUCUUGGUCAUCGAGGAGUUGGCGAAGGUGGAUCCAUCUGUGGCCGUUCUGUGUGACAUCCAGAACACGCUGAUCAACACCCUCUUCACCAAACUGGGCACCCCAGCUCAGAAAGAGCAGUACCUCAGCCGACUGUCAACUGACACGGUCGGAAGCUUCUGCCUUUCUGAAGCAGAGUCGGGGAGUGACGCCUUUUCUCUGAAGACGCGUGCUGAGAAACACAAGGACUAUUACAUCAUCAACGGAUCCAAGAUGUGGAUCAGUAAUGCAGAGCAUGCAGGUGUAUUCCUGGUGAUGGCCAAUGUGGACUUCUCUGCUGGAUACAAAGGCAUCACCUGCUUCAUCGUGGAUCGGGACACCGAGGGGCUCGAGAUCUGCAAAAAGGAGAACAAGCUCGGCCUGCGUGCGUCCUCCACCUGCCCGCUCAACUUUGACAAUCUCAAGGUGCCAGAGAAGAACAUUUUGGGACAGAUCGGUCAUGGGUACAAGUAUGCCAUCGGCAUGUUGAAUGAGGGCCGGAUUGGGAUUGCAAGUCAGAUGCUUGGACUGGCACAGGGCUGCUUCGACAACACCAUUCCUUACACAAGACAGAGGAAGCAGUUCGGAAAACGCAUCUUUGACUUCCAGGGCAUGCAGCACCAAAUUGCACAUGUAGCGACGCAGAUCGAAGCCGCGCGGCUGCUGACAUACAACGCCGCUCGUCUGAAGGAAGCUGGGAGACCUUUCAUUAAGGAGGCAUGCAUGGCUAAAUACUUCACUGCAGAGGUUGCAACACUAACCACGUCGAAGUGCAUCGAAUGGAUGGGAGGGGUCGGCUUCACAAAAGACUAUCCCAUAGAGAAAUACUACAGAGACUGUAAAAUUGAGUUGAGUUGUGUAACUGCCACUAAAGCCACAAGGUGGAAAGAACACAAAUCACGAGGGCUGCGGGAGGGUCAGGUGUAGCUGCCUGCGAUUGGACCAGGGUGAGGCGGAGAAGGAGGCAGUGGCUAUAAUCGGACUCUGUCGGAAUUCCCCCUCUCAGAGUGUCGUUAUACAAACACGGUGCCAAGGAAACUGCCAGGGCAACAUGUCACUUUUCCUCUCAUCACUUUCACGUUGGCUCCGCGGUUCUCCAGCUGGAGCUCUGGCAGAGCACCAUUUAUGAGGGCACGACGAAUGUUCAGCUUUCCAGUAUAGCCAAGUUCAUCGAUAAGGAGUACGACUACUAAAAACUUCCAACGGGAACCUGAUCGAUUGCACUCUGCUGUGUUACACUCCAUAUCUUUUUUAAAUAUGAAUCUGGUGGGAUUAUGCUGCAGCGGUGCAACGCUGUAGACCUGCUUUCAUAGAGUUUUCUUACAGUUUCAACUUGUACACUUGUAAAGUAGUUCCCACUACCGCUGUUGCUGAUUAAGUUAUAGUUCCCAUGCUUUAGGGUGAAAGUUUUAUUGUUCCGUUUGCCUUCUGUUGUCACUUCUUCAUUUUGAAAUACGACAGCAUUCUUCAACUGUACAUCUCUACCACUUUCCUCUUUGCCUCGUUUGUUCUUCUGUUUACUGAGAUGUCAUGAUCAAUCAUUUCAAAUAACUGUCUUUGUGUUGCAAUAUGAGAAUUAAUUAAGAUAUUAUUUUAGAUCUUAAUUUUAACGUUUCAGUGCUUUCAGGAGGUGGCUAUGACUGAAAUCAGACGUCAGUAUUGUCUUUGCAGGAUACUGAAAUGUAAUUUAACAGUUUCAUGCCUCGUAAAAAUGUAAACAGUCAUCUAUCAAAAUCGAUAAAUGUGUAAUAUGCUGUGAAUCAUCUGUUUUUGGUGUCACUGACCGUUUGCAGAGUAGUAUCGAGUUCUGCCACUAGAUGGAAGCAUUCUCCAGAGUGACUACAGCACCCUGAGCUGGAGAGGCUCCUCAGUGCAGGAGCAGUAAAUUAUCAUGUCUCAUAACAGCCUGUCACCUCUAAUGAUAUUUUAUACCAAUUUAAUUACACCGGUGCUUCAGAUGAAAAGAGCCCGCCUGCCUGGCGUAAUUGCCUCACUGAUAAUUUUUCAGGUGAGAUUGAUCACAUGGCCUCCGAGCUGUGUAAAAUGAGGCCUAUUGUUUUACACCAGGCAGGCGAGUUGUGUGCACAUGUAUAGGACCAUUAACAGCUAUUACACAUGACCCCUUAUGUACAUGUUACUUACUGUGUAUCUGCUAAACAACAAGGAACAAUUACCAACAUGAGUUAUUCAUUAACGCGGAUGUUAAAAGUCAGAUUCAUAAUGUUGUAAUAACAGAUCAGCAGUGGCCACAUUUGGAUUUCAGAAAGCAAAUGAAUAAGAACAUAUACAAACAUCCAUUGUUUGUGUAUCUGUUUUAUCAUCUUUCUUUAAUAAAAGAAACCGAUUGAUCGCGAAAUGUUCACAUCCGUUAGAAUAUGAAUUUUCCUGAUUAAACUGAUAAAGCUUUUGUUUUAUUGGUUGCCUGAAAACCCAGAAUUUAAACAAAUACUGUGAGAAAAAAGAAAACAAUAAGCAAAAGACAAAUUUACUACAGUGUAUUAUUUUGACAAAGAAUUCUUCAUCCUUCUCAUGUUUUAUUGAUCACCUCACUUCCCGAUUGUGCUACUAAAUAAUGAUGAAAUAUUUAUAUAGAUUAUUUUGUCUGUCGUGGCAGAGAAUCACCUAAGCUUUGGUGUCAUGAUCACAAAUAACAAAAUAUUAAAUGUCACCUGAUUACACCUGUAUUCCCAAAAAAUAUGCUUUGUUAUAUGAUAGAAUUGUGUGAAAAUAUUGUGAUGUAGAUAUAAACUUCUACUUCUAAAUGA